GGUUACUGCUAUCGGUGUUCGCCUAAGCCAUGCGAGUCAUAUGUUCGUAAGAACAUGGCGUACUGCUCAGUAACACGUGGAUAACCUGCCCUUGGGUCCGGCAUAACCCCGGGAAACUGGGGAUAAUUCCGGAUAACGCACAUAUGCUGGAAUGCUUUUUGCGUAAAAUGGAUUCGUCUGCCCAAGGAUGGGUCUGCGGCCUAUCAGGUAGUAGUGGGUGUAAUGUACCUACUAGCCUACGACGGGUACGGGUUGUGAGAGCAAGAGCCCGGAGAUGGAUUCUGAGACAUGAAUCCAGGCCCUACGGGGCGCAGCAGGCGCGAAAACUUUACAAUGCGGGAAACCGUGAUAAGGGGACACCGAGUGCCAGCAUCCUAUGCUGGCUGUCCGGGUGUGUAAAAUACACCUGUUAGCAAGGGCCGGGCAAGACCGGUGCCAGCCGCCGCGGUAACACCGGCGGCCCGAGUGGUGAUCGUGAUUAUUGGGUCUAAAGGGUCCGUAGCCGGUUUGGUCAGUCCUCCGGGAAAUCUGACAGCUCAACUGUUAGGCUAUCGGAGGAUACUGCCAGACUUGGAACCGGGAGAGGUAAGAGGUACUGCAGGGGUAGGAGUGAAAUCUUGUAAUCCCUGUGGGACCACCUGUGGCGAAGGCGUCUUACCAGAACGGGUUCGACGGUGAGGGACGAAAGCUGGGGGCACGAACCGGAUUAGAUACCCGGGUAGUCCCAGCCGUAAACGAUGCUCGCUAGGUGUCAGGCAUGGCGCGACCGUGUCUGGUGCCGCAGGGAAGCCGUGAAGCGAGCCACCUGGGAAGUACGGCCGCAAGGCUGAAACUUAA
rnacentral:rRNA from 1 species